UGUUCAGGCGUGUGCUUUUCUGAUGUUCUGGGCUGUGGUGACGACCCUCUGGAGAGCUUUCCUGUCUGUGACUGUGCAGCUGGAAAACCACACACACAGACAGUAGGUCAAAAUGCUCUCUAUGGAGCAGCGAUAGAACGACACCAGCAGUCUCUGUGGCAGAUGGUUAUUCCUGAGAACCCUCAGGAAAUAGAGUCUCUGCUGUGCCUUCUUGAUGGUAGCCAUAGUAUUUGUGCUCCAAGUCAGGUCGUCUCUCAAAUACACGCCCAGAAAACGAAAUUGAGAGACCCACUCCACACA